rnacentral:rRNA from 1 species
CGCAUCUGUGCAUGCAGCAUAUCAAUAAGCGGAGGAAAAGAAACUAACAAGGAUUCCCUUAGUAACGGCGAGUGAAGCGGGAAGAGCUCAAAUUUGAAAUCUUCAAGGUUUUACCUUGACGAAUUGUAGUUUAAAGAAGUGUUUUCUGUUGAAGUUUUGGUAAAAGUUCUUUGGAAUAGGACAUCAUAGAGGGUGAGAAUCCCGUAUUUGACCAUUAUUUUCAGCUGUGUGAUACACUUUCAAAGAGUCGGAUUGUUUGGGAAUGCAGUCCAAAAUGGGUGGUAAAUUUCAUCUAAAGCUAAAUAUUGGCGAGAGACCGAUAGCGAACAAGUACCGUGAGGGAAAGAUGAAAAGAACUUUGAAAAGAGAGUUAAACAGUACGUGAAAUUGUCAAAAGGGAAGCGUUUGACACCAGUGUUGUUUUCUCGAAAAUCACUUAAAAAGAGUUAGAUUUUGUUGUGUAUUGACCUUAACAGCUUGCAUUUCAAUUUUCUUGCUUUUUUUAAUGCACUUUUCGUUUAACAAGUCAACAUCAGUUUCUUUUGUUGUAAAAAGGUCAUUGGAAGGUGGCUUUCUUUUCGGAGAAAGUGUUUAUAGCCUUUGACUCCUGCAAUCGGAGAGACUGAGGUCUGCAGCGUAGAUCCUUCGGGGUUAGAUACAUUUGUGCUAAGUUAUAGCUUUUUAUAGACAACUUGUUGACUAUGAUUAGUCUUGUAGCUUACUCGCUUAUGCUAUUUUACCUACGCUUAGGAUGUUGACGCGCGUGUGUGCGUGGUCUAUACAUGACUCUGCGCAUAUCAAUAAGCGGAGGAAAAGAAACUAACAAGGAUUCCCUUAGUAACGGCGAGUGAAGCGGGAAGAGCUCAAAUUUGAAAUCUUCAAGGUUUUACCUUGACGAAUUGUAGUUUAAAGAAGUGUUUUCUGUUGAAGUUUUGGUAAAGUUCUUUGGAAUAGGACAUCAUAGAGGGUGAGAAUCCCGUAUUUGACCAUUAUUUUCAGCUGUGUGAUACACUUUCAAAGAGUCGGAUUGUUUGGGAAUGCAGUCCAAAAUGGGUGGUAAAUUUCAUCUAAAGCUAAAUAUUGGCGAGAGACCGAUAGCGAACAAGUACCGUGAGGGAAAGAUGAAAAGAACUUUGAAAAGAGAGUUAAACAGUACGUGAAAUUGUCAAAAGGGAAGCGUUUGACACCAGUGUUGUUUUCUCGAAAAUCAAUUAAAAAGAGUUAGAUUUUGUGUUGUAUUGACCUUAACAGCUUGCAUUCACUCUUUCCUAGCUUUUUUUAAUGCACUUUUCGUUUAACAAGUCAACAUCAGUUUCUUUUGUUGUAAAAAGGUCAUUGGAAGGUGGCUUUCUUUUCGGAGAAAGUGUUUAUAGCCUUUGACUCCUGCAAUCGGAGAGACUGAGGUCUGCAGCGUAGAUCCUUCGGGGUUAGAUACAUUUGUGCUAAGUUAUAGCUUUUUAUAGACAACUUGUUGACUAUGAUUAGUCUUGUAGCUUACUCGCUUAUGCUAUUUUACCUACGCUUAGGAUGUUGACGCGCGUGUGUGCGUGAUCUAUACAUGACUCUGUGCAUAUCAAUAAGCGAGGAAAAGGCUGCGGAACUGAACGACCGCUACCUACGCUUAGGAUGUUGACGAGACUGUCGAUCUCACCUAUACGUGACCCUGUGCAUAUCAAUAAGCGGAGGAAAAGUAAAUGCUGUAUACCUACGCUUAGGAUGUUGACGCGCGUGUGUGCGUG